rnacentral:lncRNA from 1 species
AGUGCAAAUUUCAGGUUAAAGUUUUUGGUCAAGGUAGUUUUUGAUGAAGUUGAAGUCCAAUCAACUUGAAACUUAGUAUACAUGUGCCCUAUGAUAUGAUCUUUCUAAUUUUAAAUGCCAAAUUAGAGUUUUGACCCCAAUUUUACGGUUCACUGAACAUAGAAAAUGAUAGUGCAAAUUUCAGGUUAAAGUUUUUGGCUUCAGGUUAAAGUUUUUGGUCAAGGUAGUUUUUGAUGAAGUUGAAGUCCAAUCAACUUGAAACUUAGUAUACGUGUGCCCUAUGAUAUGAUCUUUCUAAUUUAAAUGCCAAAUUAGAGUUUUGACCCCA